GAUGAGUGUGAUGACUUCUUUACUCCGGCCACUCCCACUUUCAAAUCUGGAUCAACUAAACGAUCUUGAAAAAAAAUUAGGUGACAAAGAUUUACAAUCCGUAUUUGUAAAACACUUAACACGUAUUGGAGGAGUAGAUGGAAAUAAAAAUAGCAACAGAAUUACAUAUAUGGUCGUAGAUGCCAUAUUUGAGAGACAAUUUUUAGUUAGUUGCUCCUGGACUGGGUCAACCAAAACAAAAAAUGAUAAGAAAAUCGCAUUUAUGGAAUACAAAAAUGUAAUUCAAUCAUUUUAUAAUAUAAUUCACUUGGCAGAUUCCAGGUACACAAUGGAUGACAAUAACAGUUUUUUUAAACGCAUUUUAAAGAAUAGUGCCAGUAGAGCUGGCAAACAGACAAAAGCAAAUGCAAAGAAAACUAAUGCUAAUUCCGAAGAGAUUUUGGUUGAUGUUGCUCUUUAAUUGUUAUUACAAUUUUUUUAUAAUACUUAUUUGAUAGUUACAUUAUCUUUUAACUUAUUUCGAAACUAUGUAGUAGUGGAAUAAAAACUCUUUCAUUAUGA